UACGAAGGGGGCUAGCGUUGUUCGGAAUUACUGGGCGUAAAGCGCACGUAGGCGGUCCAGCAAGUCGGGUGUGAAAGCCCUCGGCUUAACCGAGGAAGUGCAUUCGAAACUACUGGACUUGAGUACUGAAGAGGAUCGCGGAAUUCCCGGUGUAGAGGUGAAAUGCGUAGAUAUCGGGAGAACACCAGUGGCGAAGGCGACUACCUGGCCUGUUUCUUGACGCUGAGCGCGAAAGCUAGGGGAGCAAACGGG
rnacentral:rRNA from 1 species